ACGCACGCUGGCGGCGUGCUUAACACAUGCAAGUCGAACGGUAAGGCCCCUUCGGGGGUCCCCGAGUGGCGAACGGGUGAGUAACACGUGAGCAACCUGCCCUUGACUCUGGAAUAACAGUUGGAAACAGCUGCUAAUACUGGAUAUUCAUCGUCUCCUUCCUGGGGGGUGGUGGAAAGCUCCGGCGGUCAGGGAUGGGCUCGCGGCCUAUCAGCUUGUUGGUGAGGUAAUGGCUCACCAAGGCUUCGACGGGUAGCCGGCCUGAGAGGGCGACCGGCCACACUGGGACUGAGAUACGGCCCAGACUCCUACGGGAGGCAGCAGUGGGGAAUAUUGCACAAUGGGCGCAAGCCUGAUGCAGCAACGCCGCGUGCGGGAUGACGGCCUUCGGGUUGUAAACCGCUUUCAGUAGGGACGAAGGGUGACUGACGGUACCUACAGAAGAAGGACCGGCUAACUACGUG
rnacentral:rRNA from 1 species